UACGUAGGGUGCAAGCGUUUGUCCGGAAUUAUUGGGCGUAAAGAGCUCGUAGGCGGUCUGUCGCGUCGGAUGUGAAAAUCCAGGGCUCAACCCUGGACCUGCAUUCGAUACGGGCAGACUAGAGUUCGGCAGGGGAGACUGGAAUUCCUGGUGUAGCGGUGAAAUGCGCAGAUAUCAGGAGGAACACCGGUGGCGAAGGCGGGUCUCUGGGCCGAUACUGACGCUGAGGAGCGAAAGCGUGGGGGAGCAAACAGG
rnacentral:rRNA from 1 species